AAAUCCUAAAUGUAAAAAUAGGCAGAAUUCGUCCAUAAACAUGAAAAAAAUAAUAGGCUAAGGGUAAAUCGAUAUGCUGAAAUCAUAAAUAAGGACCGAUGAGAUAGAAAAAAAUAGUAAGUAAAUAAAUGGGGUUCGAAUUCCAUAGAUAAUAUGGAAGGUAUUGUCUAUAAUGAUAGGCAAAUAAAAGACUUGCACAAAAUUUUUAUUCAUCCACUUGAGAUUUUGAAAAUAGGUUUUGAUUGAACUUUUGAAUUUAUUGAAAUUCAAUAAGUCAACAAUUGAAUUGGAUUCCGUUGGUACCAUCCAACGGAAUCGAUUGCUAAGACCCAUUUCUUAUUGAUUCAAUUAACCGAUCAACUUAACUUGUUUUGUUAUCGAACAUUUAUUUAUUUUUGAUUUCUAGCCAUUUUCGCAAAAAAUUUCGACAUAUUUUAUUAUGAAAAUAAAUCCUACUACUUCUGGUCCUGGGGUUUCCGCACUUGAAAAAAAAACCUGGGGCGUAUUGCUCAAAUCAUUGGUCCGGUACUAGAUGUAUCUUUUCCACCCGGCAAGAUGCCUAAUAUUUACAACGCUCUGGUAUUAAGGGUCGAGAUACCGCUGGUCAACAAAUUAAUGUGACUUGUGAAGUACAGCAAUUAUUAGGAAAUAAUCGAGUUAGAGCGGUAGCUAUGAGUGCUACAGAUGGUCUAACGAGAGGAAUGGAAGUAAUUGAUACAGGAGCUCCUUUAAGUGUUCCAGUCGGCGGAGCGACUCUAGGACGAAUUUUUAACGUACUUGGAGAGCCUGUGGAUAAUUUAGGUCCUGUAGAUACUCGUACAACAUCUCCUAUUCAUAGAUCUGCGCCUGCCUUUAUACAGUUAGAUACAAAAUUAUCCAUUUUUGAAACAGGAAUUAAAGUCGUAGAUCUUCUAGCCCCCUAUCGUCGUGGAGGAAAAAUCGGACUUUUUGGGGGAGCUGGAGUAGGUAAA